AUGGUUAACAACUUUGAAGGUGUGGGAGCAGUUGGUGGUGGCUCCAGUCGCGGUCGCGUCAACAGAAGGAGCUUUGGAGAUAGGAGGAUGAUUGACAACUUUGAAGGUGUGAAAACAGUCGAUGGUGGUGGCUCUGGUGGCGUCCGUUUCAGCAGAAGGAGGGGUUUAGCGGUGGUUCGUGUAGCUCAGGACCUCAUGCCGGGCAUCCCUGGUCGACCACGUUGCUUGAGUGGCAAGACCAACAGUUUCUGA